rnacentral:rRNA from 1 species
CUCGUAGGCGGUUUGUCGCGUCGGGAGUGAAAACCUACAGCUUAACUGUGGGCUUGCUUCCGAUACGGGCAGACUUGAGGCAUGCAGGGGAGAACGGAAUUCCUGGUGUAGCGGUGAAAUGCGCAGAUAUCAGGAGGAACACCGGUGGCGAAGGCGGUUCUCUGGGCAUGUUCUGACGCUGAGGAGCGAAAGUGUGGGGAGCAACA